CACAGCAUGUUGAAAAACUGAUCCCCAUACGAUCACCGAAGUUAAGCAACGUCCAGCCUGGUCAGUACCGAGAUGGAUGACCGCUUAGGAAUACAACGUGCU